rnacentral:rRNA from 1 species
CAUGGUUAAGUGGGAAACGAUGUGGGAAGGCCCAGACAGCCAGGAUGUUGGCUUAGAAGCAGCCAUCAUUUAAAGAAAGCGUAAUAGCUCACUGGUCGAGUCGGCCUGCGCGGAAGAUGUAACGGGGCUAAACCAUGCACCGAAGCUGCGGCAGCGACGCUGAUGCGUUGUUGGGUAGGGGAGCGUUCUGUAAGCCUGUGAAGGUGUGCUGUGAGGCAUGCUGGAGGUAUCAGAAGUGCGAAUGCUGACAUAAGUAACGAUAAAGCGGGUGAAAAGCCCGCUCGCCGGAAGACCAAGGGUUCCUGUCCAACGUUAAUCGGGGCAGGGUGAGUCGACCCCUAAGGCGAGGCCGAAAGGCGUAGUCGAUGGGAAACAGGUUAAUAUUCCUGUACUUGGUGUUACUGCGAAGGGGGGACGGAGAAGGCUAUGUUGGCCGGGCGACGGUUGUCCCGGUUUAAGCGUGUAGGCUGGUUUUCCAGGCAAAUCCGGAAAACUAAGGCUGAGGCGUGAUGACGAGGCACUACGGUGCUGAAGCAACAAAUGCCCUGCUUCCAGGAAAAGCCUCUAAGCAUCAGGUAACAUCAAAUCGUACCCCAAACCGACACAGGUGGUCAGGUAGAGAAUACCAAGGCGCUUGAGAGAACUCGGGUGAAGGAACUAGGCAAAAUGGUGCCGUAACUUCGGGAGAAGGCACGCUGAUAUGUAGGUGAAGUCCCUCGCGGAUGGAGCUGAAAUCAGUCGAAGAUACCAGCUGGCUGCAACUGUUUAUUAAAAACACAGCACUGUGCAAACACGAAAGUGGACGUAUACGGUGUGACGCCUGCCCGGUGCCGGAAGGUUAAUUGAUGGGGUCAGCGCAAGCGAAGCUCUUGAUCGAAGCCCCGGUAAACGGCGGCCGUAACUAUAACGGUCCUAAGGUAGCGAAAUUCCUUGUCGGGUAAGUUCCGACCUGCACGAAUGGCGUAAUGAUGGCCAGGCUGUCUCCACCCGAGACUCAGUGAAAUUGAACUCGCUGUGAAGAUGCAGUGUACCCGCGGCAAGACGGAAAGACCCCGUGAACCUUUACUAUAGCUUGACACUGAACAUUGAGCCUUGAUGUGUAGGAUAGGUGGGAGGCUUUGAAGUGUGGACGCCAGUCUGCAUGGAGCCGACCUUGAAAUACCACCCUUUAAUGUUUGAUGUUCUAACGUUGACCCGUAAUCCGGGUUGCGGACAGUGUCUGGUGGGUAGUUUGACUGGGGCGGUCUCCUCCUAAAGAGUAACGGAGGAGCACGAAGGUUGGCUAAUCCUGGUCGGACAUCAGGAGGUUAGUGCAAUGGCAUAAGCCAGCUUGACUGCGAGCGUGACGGCGCGAGCAGGUGCGAAAGCAGGUCAUAGUGAUCCGGUGGUUCUGAAUGGAAGGGCCAUCGCUCAACGGAUAAAAGGUACUCCGGGGAUAACAGGCUGAUACCGCCCAAGAGUUCAUAUCGACGGCGGUGUUUGGCACCUCGAUGUCGGCUCAUCACAUCCUGGGGCUGAAGUAGGUCCCAAGGGUAUGGCUGUUCGCCAUUUAAAGUGGUACGCGAGCUGGGUUUAGAACGUCGUGAGACAGUUCGGUCCCUAUCUGCCGUGGGCGCUGGAGAACUGAGGGGGGCUGCUCCUAGUACGAGAGGACCGGAGUGGACGCAUCACUGGUGUUCGGGUUGUCAUGCCAAUGGCACUGCCCGGUAGCUAAAUGCGGAAGAGAUAAGUGCUGAAAGCAUCUAAGCACGAAACUUGCCCCGAGAUGAGUUCUCCCUGACUCCUUGAGAGUCCUGAAGGAACGUUGAAG